UACGCUUCUAAGCCUUUUGGCUAAGAUCAAGUGUAGUAUCUGUUCUUAUCAGUUUAAUGUCUGAUAUGUCCUCUAUAUAGGGAUGUUCUGUAUUAAGCAGAUUUUGGCAUGAGGCAGAAAUUUGGGCGCCUCCUUUCUCUCCCCACCACUUGCUCACGACCUAACAUUGCAGUGCCGCUGGGAACGGUGCCUCUAUU